UGCUGACGUUUCCAGUUACCAUGCAGGGAGACAGGUAGGAGGAGAUCAUCAUCUGGAUUCUGGCAAAGAGAUUUGCAGAGUGUCGGGUAACCGGCUAAGAGAUCUGCAAAGUGUCAGUUGAAGACGACGGGAGGAGUCGCAGAGGCAGCAACGACUGGAGGAUAGCAUGCAGGAGUGGGUGAUCCCUGAAUAGCUGCCCUGGGAGGAGAGCUGCGGACACAUGCUCCAAAUGUUGGGACAUAAGUAUUCCUAUCAGGAGAUGCGGUAAAGA